CGUGUGAUUCACACCGGAGCCCUAUUAGUGGGAACACUAGGAAAAGGUGAUAGAGAUGAAUGUUGAGUGUGGGGCAGAGGGUGUGAUAAACGGCAUUGAAAAGUGAUGCAUGCUGUUUAUGUAAAAUUUGAAAUCAGCCAGAACUUUCUAGCUAAGCUUAUUAUUAGUAUAAAAGCCAUAGAAAUCUGGAAUUCCUCUUCCACAUACACACCAAACUUGGAGCUUCAGAGUUCAGAUUGAGUCUGUGUGCUUAGUUAGCAGAAGAUGAGCGACCCAAAAUAUGGUUAUCCCUACCCUGCUCAAGGCCAAGGUUAUUAUCAAGGCCCUCCAGUAAUGGCACCUCCACAGUAUGCUUAUGCUCCAGCUCCUCCACCCAAGAGAGAACCAGGUUUCCUAGAGGGAUGUCUUGCGGCUUUGUGUUGCUGUUGCCUUAUUGACGAGUGUUGCUGCGACCCCUCUGUCCUCUUCAUCUUCUGAAUCAUCAUCGUUACCAAUGAUAUGCAGAUCGAUUAGUUCAAUGAUAUAUCCCUGCGUACAUAUGCUUGGAUUAGUUCAAUUCCUCCUAUUUAUGUAAUGUGAGAUCUUGCUUGAUAUUGAUUUCUCGUAGUUUUUUAUGUACAAGACUCCUUAAUUAUUAAUCGUCUCCAUUGUCCCUGUAUGAUGUGAUGUGCUAUCUUCGACUUAGAUUUUUCGUGUUGAUUUUUUGCUUACUUGCAAGAUGAACACGAAGGCGGUAUACAAAAUUCAAAAUCAAUCUC